rnacentral:lncRNA from 1 species
GUUUUUUGGUCCUAUUUAUAUAGAAUGGCAAGUACUAUUAUAGGCUUUGUUCUACUUUGAAUUUGAUUAAUAGGUAAUGAUGAGUUACCGUAUAAGUUAAUUUAAAAUACAACAUUAUGUUAUUUUAGUAAUUAAUUGAUCAAAAAGAUUAUUAACAUGUUCGUAAGAUAAUUAAAAUAAAUAUAAUAAGGUUGUAGGUUCUGUUUAGACUAGAAUUCGCCCUAGUUGAAGAGCUAUGAGUUGGGUAAUUAGUUUUGAGUUACUAAUUGGAGGAAUAAAAGACACCAAAUAAUGGGAGUUACUAAUUAGCCGAUGAUUACUUAUGUUGCUUUUUCAAGUCGUGGAUAUAAGUUGUUAAUAAUAAGCCGUUGUUAUAAGAAUGAUCUGGAUGUGGUACUAUGGUGGUCGUUGAGCUGCUGUUUGUCGUGUUGUUAUGGUGGCCAUUGAGCUGCCGUUUGUCGUGUUGUUAUGGUGACCGUUGCGUUGCCGUUUGCCGUGUUGCUAAGGUGGCCGUUGUGCUGCCGUUUGUCGUGUUGCCAUGGUAGAUGUUGCGUCGCCGUUCGUCGUGUUGUCAUCAUUAUAUUUAUGAGUUGCUUUAUUUUGUUAAUUAUUGAGUUGUCCCGGUUGUGUUUAAUUGUCCAAAGAUGAUGUACUUUAUUUUCGUUGACUUCUAUGUUUUACUAUAACUUGUAUUGCUAUUAUUUUCGGUUUCUUAUGUGAUUUCGUUACUGACCCUUUUGUCCCCCUCUGGUUUGACCCUACGAUGUGAAAUCAUAGAUUUUUCAGGUAAUAGAUGAGUCUUAGCGCCGAGUGUCGAGGAUGGCUUUAGGGCGCUAUCUUCUUUUCCUGCUUUCAAUAAAUUGAGUCGCUCUGAUAGGAAGCCAAUAGGGAGGGGAACUCUCAAUUACAAUUUCAGUUAUUAUUACAUUAAAAACUAUUGGAGUUUUAGUUGUUUUUUUUUUCUAAGACUAUUGAACCAUGUUAUUCGUUUUAGUGAUUUUCAAUUCAGGCUUUAGGAUUUAUAUUUUUAUUUAAAUUUUAAUUUUCGCUGCAAUUUUUAAGCCAGUUAGAAAUUAAUUUGAAGCAGAGUAACACUCUUUCAGCAAAUAAAUCAUUUAAUUUUUAUAAAUAAAAUCAAUGGGAAUUUGAGGGUGUU